GAUGAACGCUGGCGGCGUGCUUAACACAUGCAAGUCGAACGGAAAGGCCCUGCUUUUGUGGGGUGCUCGAGUGGCGAACGGGUGAGUAACACGUGAGUAACCUGCCCUUGACUUUGGGAUAACUUCAGGAAACUGGGGCUAAUACCGGAUAGGAGCUCCUGCUGCAUGGUGGGGGUUGGAAAGUUUCGGCGGUUGGGGAUGGACUCGCGGCUUAUCAGCUUGUUGGUGGGGUAGUGGCUUACCAAGGCUUUGACGGGUAGCCGGCCUGAGAGGGUGACCGGCCACAUUGGGACUGAGAUACGGCCCAGACUCCUACGGGAGGCAGCAGUGGGGAAUAUUGCACAAUGGGCAGAAGCCUGAUGCAGCAACGCCGCGUGCGGGAUGACGGCCUUCGGGUUGUAAACCGCUUUCGCCUGUGACGAAGCGUGAGUGACGGUAAUGGGUAAAGAAGCACCGGCUAACUACGUG
rnacentral:rRNA from 1 species